UCAGAUAAUAAAAUUUCAUACUUCCCACCAGGUAAAGAUUUUAACCAUCUUUUCCCCCUUCCCAUGCAAAAAGAACUUAAGCACGGUGACAAAGGAUUUUCUUUCAAAAAUAUAAUACUAAAAAGACAUUCAUAAGUUUUAGUUGGACAAAGCUUCAUAACACCUCGAGAGACUUCUUAUGCACCAAUCCUUUUUUUUUUUUUUU
rnacentral:lncRNA from 1 species